GUCUUACUGAGGGUGGUGCAUCUUGGCUGUGUUCUAGAAGCUACUGAGGAAAAAGGCGACUUCACUGAGGAGAAAGACGGUGCGGAGGGGAAAAACGAGCGGAAGUUUCUGUGCAUUUAGAAGUUGUGUAGUUCUGGGAGACAAUGGACGUGCUACCCAAGAAGGCUACCAGCAAAACUUCAAAGCGCCUAAGAGACGAUACGGAUUCGUCAUCUGAUGAUGACUUUGAGCGCAGAGCUCCACAAAAGCCAGAUGAUAAAACAGACCGUGAUGACAGUGAGGACACAUCCUCAUCACAAGAUGAGGAAG